rnacentral:rRNA from 1 species
AGAAACUAACAAGGAUUCCCCUAGUAACUGCGAGUGAAGCGGGAAGUAGCUCAAAUUUAAAAAUCUGGCGGUUCUGCCGUCCGAGUUGUAAUCUGGAGAAGCGUUUUCUGUGCUGGACCGUGCAUAAGUGUCUUGGAAUAGGACGUCAUAGAGGGUGAGAAUCCCGUCUUUGGCACGGACUACCAGUGCUCUGUGAUACGCUCUCAAAGAGUCGAGUUGUUUGGGAAUGCAGCUCAAAAUGGGUGGUAAAUUCCAUCUAAAGCUAAAUAUAGGCGAGAGACCGAUAGCGAACAAGUACCGUGAGGGAAAGAUGAAAAGCACUUUGGAAAGAGAGUUAAACAGUACGUGAAAUUGUUGAAAGGGAAACGCUUGAAGUCAGUCGCGUUGUCCAGGACUCAACCUUGGUUCUCCUUGGUGUAUUUCCUGGUUAACGGGUCAACAUCAAUUUUGAUCGGUGGAUAAAGGCAGGGGGAAUGUGGCACCCUCGGGUGUGUUAUAGCCUCUUGUCGUAUACACUGGUUGGGAUUGAGGAUAUCACGCCCUCGGCGGUAGGAUGUUGACAUAAUGGCUUUAAGCGACCCGUCUUGAAACACGGACCAAGGAGUCUAACAUGCCUGCGAGUGUUAGGGUGGUAAACCCUUGCGCGUAAUGAAAGUGAAAGUUGGGACCUCUUUGAGGGCACCGACGCCCGGCCUUGAACUCUUGUGACGGUGCUGCGGUAGAGCAUGUAUGUUGGGACCCGAAAGAUGGUGAACUAUGCCUGAAUAGGGCGAAGCCAGAGGAAACUCUGGUGGAGGCUCGUAGCGAUUCUGACGUGCAAAUCGAUCGUCAAAUUUGGGUAUAGGGGCGAAAGACUAAUCGAACCAUCUAGUAGCUGGUUCCUGCCGAAUUU